UACGUAGGGACCAAGCGUUGUUCGGAUUUACUGGGCGUAAAGGGCGCGUAGGCGGCCUCUGCAAGUCGACUGUGAAAUCUCCGGGCUUAACCCGGAACGGUCAGCCGAUACUGCAGGGCUAGAGUGUGGUAGGGGAGAUCGGAAUUCCUGGUGUAGCGGUGAAAUGCGCAGAUAUCAGGAGGAACACCGGUGGCGAAGGCGGAUCUCUGGGCCAUUACUGACGCUGAGGAGCGAAAGCGUGGGGAGCGAACAGG
rnacentral:rRNA from 1 species